rfam:Smittium mucronatum strain ALG-7-W6 scaffold-2054, whole genome shotgun sequence.
CAAAAGGCUUUUUGAAGCCACCAAUAUUCUGAUAUUAUCUAUUU